rnacentral:rRNA from 1 species
CCUACGGGUGGCAGCAGUGGGGAAUAUUGCACAAUGGGGGAAACCCUGAUGCAGCGACGCCGCGUGAGUGAAGAAGUAUUUCGGUACGUAAAGCUCUAUCAGCAGGGAAGAAAAACCGGCCUUAGGGCCGCCAGACGGUACCUGACUAAGAAGCCCCGGCUAACUACGUUCCAGGAGCCGCGGGAAUACGUAGGGGGCAAGCGUUAUCCGGAUUUACUGGGUGUAAAGGGAGCGUAGGCGGCAGCGCAAGGCUGGAGGGAAAUGCCGGGGGCCAACCCCGGAACUGCUUUGGAAACUGUGCAGCUGGAGUGCAGGAGAGGUGAGCGGAAUUCCUAGUGUAGCGGUGAAAUGCGUAGAUAUUAGGAGGAACACCAGUGGCGAAGGCGGCUUACUGGACUGUAACUGACGUUGAGGCUCGAAAGCGUGGGGAGCAAACAGGAUUAGAUACCCGAGUAGUC